rnacentral:rRNA from 1 species
GACGAACGCUGGCGGCGUGCUUAACACAUGCAAGUCGAACGGAAAGGCCCUGCUUUUGUGGGGUGCUCGAGUGGCGAACGGGUGAGUAACACGUGAGUAACCUGCCCUUGACUUUGGGAUAACUUCAGGAAACUGGGGCUAAUACCGGAUAGGAGCUCCUGCUGCAUGGUGGGGGUUGGAACGUUUCGGCGGUUGGGGAUGGACUCGCGGCUUAUCAGCUUGUUGGUGGGGUAGUGGCUUACCAAGGCUUUGACGGGUAGCCGGCCUGAGAGGGUGACCGGGCACAUUGGGACUGAGAGACGGCCCAGACUCCUACGGGAGGCAGCAGUGGGGAAUAUGGCACAAUGGGAGGAAGCCUGAUGCAGCAACGCCGCGUGCGGGAUGACGGCCUUCGGGUUGUAAACCGCUUUCGCCUGUGACGAAGCGUGAGUGACGGUAAUGGGUAAAGAAGCACCGGCUAACUACGUG